UUUGGACAAUAAAAUCCAACAUAGAGUUGAAAACAUUUUGGCGAUCGUUGAACACGACAAACAGACUCUCCGGUCAGAAAUAACUGAGCAGAUUGAAGAAACCAAACGAGAUGUCCAGGCACGGUUGGACGUAGUGCAAAUGAAGGCCGAGCGGGGACCUACAUCAACAAUCGUCGCGAGCACAGCUCAGCCACCGACAUUCAACGGGAACUCAACGUGGAGUGUAUUCAGGCGACAAUUCGAGACCGUGGCAGAGCACAACCAAUGGUCGGACCGGGAAAAAUCGACAUACCUAAUUACUGCCUUGAAGGGUCGGGCGGCAGAAGUGCUACCCGGCAUUCCGACAAAUACAACUUAUGAGGAAACACUUCAGGCUCUGGAGGACCGUUUUGGGGACCAACACUUUGCAACUACGUACCACUGCCAGUUAAGAACAAGGACGCAGAAACCUGCAGAAUCCCUGCAAGAUUUUGCCACUGCCAUUGAACUGCUCGCUCUUCGUGCCUACUCCAAUCUACCU